AUGGCGCCUCUGCCGCGCAUGCGCGUUGUGACGCCCGGGAGCCGGCCUCUUCCUUCUCGUCAGAGAAAAGAUUUAAAUAUAUUUAUAUGUGUGUGUAGGGGAGAAGGGGAGGCUCCUGCUGCUUCUUAUCGCUUCGGAGCAACCAGAAUCAAAGCGGGCGGGGAAGGGAGGCGCGGAGGCAGCAACCGUCGCGCCCUCUCAAGGGAGGGCAUUGGCGGCUUCGCCCCCUCACACCUGAGGGGAAGAGGGAGCCCUUCCCCCACCCCUUGAGACGGGUUGCCCCCUUCCCUCCUGCAGUUUAUUCUUAAAAACAUGGAGGGUGCAAUGAAUCCGGGCACCCUAAUACCCACAGACUGUAGGGGAGGGCGGGGUGGUUGUGGUUGUGUCAGUUGUGAUGCCAGCCUGCCCUAUUGUGUGAGGUGUCAGGCACGAUCCUGCAACACACGCGCCGCCCUGAUGCUGAUUUGCGCAAAGGGGCUAAUAAGACCCGCUUUGCCGCUCUCCCGCCUCAGGUAGAGGCACCACUUUCGGGCUGUUUGGGUGGUGCUUCGACAGCCUGCAGGCUUCUCAAUUGCAAUGUUGUGGUGUUGUUGGUUGUUGGUUGUUUAAAACGGUUGUGGUGUUUUCUUCUUGCUCCCAUUCACCCAGAAGAUACUUUCACCCAGCUCGAAUGGAGAGAAUGGGACCUUUUCAAAAUGGCUUCGGGACGCCACUGAGGAAGCAAGAGAAAACGAAAGUGUCUCUCCCGGUUCAGAUAGUGAUAACAAUGUUGAACCACAUGGAAAUUUAAGAAUUGGGUUGCAUUGCAAGAGCAAACAAGAAUGGUUACCUUUCCUGGGACAGAUCCUGACAAGAAUGAACAGACUAUCUUUUCAUUGUCCCAAGUGAUGCCUGCAACUUACUGUUUAACUGUAA